rnacentral:lncRNA from 1 species
CCGUCUCUACUAAAAAUACAAAAAUUAGCUGAGUGUGAUGUCGGGCACCUGUAUCGGGAGGCUGAGGCAGGAGAAUCGUUUGAACCCAGGAGGCGGAGGUUGGAGUGAGCUGAGAUGCGCCACUGCACUCCAGCCUGGGCGACAGGGUGAGACUCCAUUUCAAAAAAGAAAAAAAAAGAGUCGUUCAAUGACAAGAGAAGAGGCUUUCCAUGGCAGCUGUACUGUUGUAGAGUAGCUUUGGGUUGGAGAGAGGGUUUGGGGCCCAGCACCUCACUAGAAAGUCACAAGGCCCAAUGGUGACUUUUCCAACCACCACCACACCCUUAGCAGUUCAGUGGAGAACAAAGUAAUAGUGAUUUCAGAUAGCAGUUAUUUAGUGGAUCAGUAUAGAUUAUCUUCAAGUUUCUGGAUAUAAGAGUUUUUAAACAACAUUUUUUUGGUGUUCUUGGCGGGGGUAGAAAUAACACUUUCUGCCUAGGUACUUAUAUGUAACAGAAUGACUAUUUUAGGCAAUAAUUACAAAAGAAGGAUGUUAUUAAAAUAAUUACUUUUUUCUUAGUAUAAAACAAUACAUGUUCACUGUAGAAACUUCAGAAAAUAUAAACUUUAAAAGAUGAAAUAUUACCCAUAAUUCAUCAAAGAUGAUCACUGUUAGUAUGUUGAUGGACAUGAGGGAUUAUUUUUUUAAUUGCAAAACUUGUUGCAAUAACAAGUUAGUCAAAGCACAACUAUCAAUAGAAUUUUGAGUCUGUUGAGUCAAUGAGUCAGCACUUAAUCCAUUGGAGAUAAUAGGUCAUAGAGAAUGUUCCAGUAAUUCUUGCUAUAUUCAUAAACAUUGAUUAGUGCUGCAGAGUAAGCAACUCUGCCUAAGCACAUUAGCACUUAGCUGACCACAAUUUAUGAUUUAUGCCAGAUGAAUAAUUCACUGAAAUGGAAUCCUUUAUUUGGAGUUAUUUUUCAUGCUUUCCAAUUGCUAAACACAUGGCAGAAGUGAGAAAAAUUGUAAGCUCUUCUGAGGAUAGGAAAGUUAGUUCAAACUUCAUUCUCCUCCCCUAAGUCUAGUACAAGUUUGUCAUUCUGUAAGUAUUUGUUGGUAACAAAUGCUCUUUUUUCUUAUGUAAUCAUGGCAAUUUCCUUAUAACUAAAAAUAAUUGGCUUUAUGGGAAAUUAUGGCCAAAAUUUUAAUGAAAUUAUUCAUACUGCUGGGUCAACAUUUAUAAUUUUGAUU